AUCUCAAUAUUCACGGCAGUGAAUAAAUGGAAUCAUUGGCUGAGAACACGUCAUGUCCGAUACGAUAGGUGGCGCUGUUUUCAUUACAACUAGUUGUGAUGCAGCCAUUUCCGCUUGACCUCUUCACCACGACCAACAACAACAACAACAACAACAUCAACGUCAGGAGAAAGACGGCGAGCGGAGAGCGAGGUGAAGCUACGUCCCUCGACUAUGUGUGCGUGAUGCUAACAGGAGCGCGGCGAAUGCGAAUGGCGCUAUUGGCUGAUUCGAUAACGGAGAGAAGACGCCGUCGCCGAAGCUUGUGGAGCAUCAGCUGUAAGAUGCCUGGGUGAGCUCAUGACGCUAACGUGCUCAGCCAGACACGCCUGUUAGCAGAAGAACCGAGAGAAAUCGCUCACUUCCUGUUGGGAAGCUGUGGAUCCCAACUGGUCAGUGGAAGCGGCCACACUGGCAUCGAACCUGCCACAGCCAGGUGGUCGUGCCAACAACCGUGGACAGAGGAUCAGAGCCGCCCUCAGAUUACCU